rnacentral:rRNA from 1 species
GACGGAGGGCGCUAGCGGUGUUCGGAAUCACUGGGCGUAAAGGGCGCGUAGGCGGCCUGUUAAGUCGGGGGUGAAAGCCCGGGGCUCAACCCCGGAACGGCCUUCGAGACUGGCGGGCUCGAGACCGGGAGAGGAGGGUGGAAUACCCAGUGUAGAGGUGAAAUUCGUAGAUAUUGGGUGGAACACCGGUGGCGAAAGCGGCUCUCUGGUCCGGUUCUGACGCUGAGGCGCGAAAGCGUGGGGAGCAAACAGG